AGAGUUUGAUCCUGGCUCAGAGCGAACGCUGGCGGCAGGCCUAACACAUGCAAGUCGAGCGGGCCCUUCGGGGUCAGCGGCAGACGGGUGAGUAACGCGUGGGAACGUACCCUUUGGUUCGGAACAACUCCGGGAAACUGGAGCUAAUACCGGAUACGCCCUUUCGGGGGAAAGAUUUAUCGCCGAAGGAUCGGCCCGCGUCUGAUUAGCUAGUUGGUGAGGUAAUGGCUCACCAAGGCGACGAUCAGUAGCUGGUCUGAGAGGAUGAUCAGCCACACUGGGACUGAGACACGGCCCAGACUCCUACGGGAGGCAGCAGUGGGGAAUAUUGGACAAUGGGCGCAAGCCUGAUCCAGCCAUGCCGCGUGAGUGAUGAAGGCCUUAGGGUUGUAAAGCUCUUUCACCCACGACGAUAAUGACGGUAGUGGGAGAAGAAGCCCCGGCUAACUUCGUGCCAGCAGCCGCGGUAAUACGAAGGGGGCUAGCGUUGCUCGGAAUCACUGGGCGUAAAGGGCGCGUAGGCGGCCGAUCAAGUCAGGGGUGAAAGCCUGUGGCUCAACCACAGAAUGGCCUUUGAUACUGUUCGGCUCGAGACCGGAAGAGGUUGGUGGAACUGCGAGUGUAGAGGUGAAAUUCGUAGAUAUUCGCAAGAACACCGGUGGCGAAGGCGGCCAACUGGUCCGGUUCUGNNGCUGAGGGCGAAAGCGUGGGGAGCAAACAGGAUUAGAUACCCUAGUAGUCC
rnacentral:rRNA from 1 species